GGUAAGACUGGGUUUGACAUUCUAUCCAUGAACUGUUGAUUACUUAUGAGUAUAAUUUCCUGAUUAACUCUUAUUGUUGGUUGAAAUCUCAUAAGUACUUUAUAUAUGUGCCAUUCAUCACAAAAUCAGGCCUGAAACUCAACUUUGCAUACUAUAUAUAUUAAGACUCAAAUGGACUUGGACAUGGCCUUGAUUUACAGGAAAUAGGCCCAGCUAGUGACCUCCGAGAGUCACCAUACUGCCACAAUCAUAGAUUUUAUCUGAAAGGCAUGUAGUAACUUUUAGGAUUAGACUGAAAACUUAGAAGAAGGAGAAAAGGGGAUAGGUAAUGCAGACUUACAAGGACAGUAGUGCAGAAGAGUUAUAUGAGUAUUUUUGUAGGAUUAUUGACUAAAAUUCUUUUACAGAUGG
rnacentral:lncRNA from 1 species